AGCGGCGUCUGCCGGAGGAGAGCCAUACUCACUUAGUAUCGGGUAUAACUGUAGAGUUGCGCUGUCCGCAGCAACUCACAACGUUCCCCCUCGUUAUUGCUCGUUUUGUAUAAUCUUCUUUAACAUGCUUUUCUUUUUACAGACUCCUACUAUAUCACAUUGAACCAAGUGAUUUUUGUUAGGCCCCUGCAAAUCGCGAAAUUGUAUGGAAUACAUAAUUCUGAAAUUCUGGUACCUCGCAUUCGCAAAUGUAAUUUUUAGCGAUGAAAAAAAUUUAAUUUGGGCCGUAUUCAGAUGGCCAUCAUAAAUAUUGGAGAGUUGCGCGUCAUCCACGGGCAACUUGUUACAUGCACAUGUAGUGCACAUAUUAUUAUUUACCUAAGCGAUUCGCAAACAGGUGUUGACAUAACUUAAUGUGUAAUUUCUAUGAUUGUAUAUUGAUAUAUGUACAU